UACGGAGGAUCCAAGCGUUAUCCGGAAUUACUGGGCGUAAAGAGUUGCGUAGGCGGCAUUGUAAGUAGGUAGUGAAAUCCUGGGGCUCAACCCUUUAAACAUUAUCUAAACUGCAAAGCUAGAAUAUAGAAGAGGUAGCUGGAAUUCCUAGUGUAGGAGUGAAAUCCGUAGAUAUUAGGAGGAACACCGAUGGCGUAGGCAGGCUACUGGUCUAUUAUUGACGCUAAGGCACGAAAGCGUGGGUAGCAAACGGG
rnacentral:rRNA from 1 species